AAUGUUCGGAUCGAACACAUCAAGC
rnacentral:piRNA from 1 species